AUGGACUCAUGGUCCAGUCCAGAUGCCAACAUAAAUAUUUUUAGGCCAAUUACUGAAUCAAUCUCGCAAUGGUUGAUGCAGCAGCGGAGGAGCUGGCCGUCGUAUUUUGUGAGGUUGCCGAGUGAAGGGACUGCAGCGGACUGCUGGUGCCAGGAUCCCUUCUCUAUUCUCCAUUCUUUCAAUUCAUUGCAGAACACAGAUGUGACAGGACAAAAAGUCAGAUGUGAUGUUGCAACACCGACUCAGCCAUAUGUAGUAGAUGAAAGAGGGCUCUCUAGAAGGCGAUCUCACCCACAGUAG
rnacentral:rRNA from 1 species